rnacentral:siRNA from 1 species
UGUGGGUGCAACUCCUCCUA